CACUUGUCUUUUAAUUUAAGAAUAGAAUGAACGGAACAACGAAUUUUAACCUGUUUCACUUUUUUCCAAUAAAACUACUUAAAAGUAAUAACACUUUUUUCCAAAAAAAAGACGAUAAGACCCUAAAGAACUUUACUAAAGUUAAGCUGGGGCGGCCUAAUAAAAAAAUCUUACUUUAACUCUUUCAUCCUAUAUAUAUCAUUAAUGUUACCUUAGGGAUAACAGCAUAAUUUAAUUUUAUAGCUCUUAUUUAAAAUUAAGAUUAUGACCUCGAUGUUGAAUUAAAAAUCUUUUAAACGAAAAAAAUUAACAAGAAAGUCUGUUCGACCUUUAAACAAUUACAUGAUUUGAGUUCAGACCGGUGAAAACCAGGUCGGUUUCUAUCUUUUUUAAAAAUUUAUUAGUACGAAAGGACCAUAAAAUAUAUUUACAAU
rnacentral:rRNA from 1 species